rnacentral:rRNA from 1 species
AAUCAACGCUGGCGGCGUGCUUAACACAUGCAAGUCGAGCGGUAAGGCCCUUUCGGGGUACACGAGCGGCGAACGGGUGAGUAACACGUGGGUGACCUGCCCUCAGCUCUGGGAUAAGCCUGGGAAACCGGGUCUAAUACCGGAUAUGACUCCAUGACGCAUGUUGUGGGGUGGAAAGCCUUGUGCGGCUGAGGAUGGGCCCGCGGCCUAUCAGCUUGUUGGGGGGUGAUGGCCUACCAAGGCGACGACGGGUAGCCGGCCUGAGAGGGCGACCGGCCACACUGGGACUGAGACACGGCCCAGACUCCUACGGGAGGCAGCAGUGGGGAAUCUUGCGCAAUGGGCGAAAGCCUGACGCAGCGACGCCGCGUGAGGGAUGACGGCCUGGU